GCUCGCGUGGUCAAAUUGGCAUAGGCAGUAGACUUAAAAUCUACGGUAUGUGGGUUCGAAUCCCACCGCGAGUACCA
rnacentral:tRNA from 1 species